CUGAAGACCAACACAACAAGAGGGGGAAUGUCUGGUACUAGAAACCUACCUAACUACCCAUUGCUAGUGAAGUCAUAGUUAUCAGAGGAGAAUCUGUAACGACUAAUUAACUAACCCAACAUAAUCCCUAGUAACAAUCUAUAAACAUUUGUCUUUAUGCCCACAGAUUAGUCCUCAGCCUUUACUCCUCAUUAAGAAAACUUCUCUUUGCAACAGAUGGAGAGCAGUACAGAACACCACAACCAAUCUAAAUGCAGAGUUGUGGAGCCCCAAUUGGAAGGAUACAACUACAAAAAAACUCCUGCACCUCAAGCUCUGGGAACAUGGCAGAAGAUGGAGUGGAACGAUGCUUAGUCAGAGGAUCUAGAAGUUUGCUGUGAGAUUGUCUUCUAGUAACAGCAGACACACUAUACCCAUAAAGUCUCACCAACAUAAAUGCGCAAAUAUGAUCUGAACAAGAACAACACCAACAAACAUGCUAUCGUGGAUGAUUGACAGGGCCAUGAGGACUCAGAUCCACACAAUGAACCACAGCCAUUAGCUACCCGUGAUCUUUUGUUUUCCCCUGAGAAUAAAGAAGCCAGAGAAGAGCCAAGGACCAGUGUAGCAUUUAAAUAACAGUGUGCUCCAGUCUGCUGUAGCCUGCUCAAUGUGAAGCUAUAAGUAGCCGGUGUUGCUGUGGCAACAUGACAAUGAUAAUAUACAAAAUUUGAACAUGGGUUGACAGACGACAGUCUAGUUGCUAUGAAAUCCAGUCAGCUGUGGUCACCUAUGUAAGACACACAGAAGAUCAGUCAAGGUAAUUAAAAUCCCUGCAGGAGGCUUGAGGGUUUUG